GUCCACGCCGUAAACGAUGAGUGCUAGACGUUGGGGGGCCUAGCUUCCCAGUGUCGCAGCUAACGCAUUAAGCACUCCGCCUGGGGAGUACGGCCGCAAGGUUGAAACUCAAAGGAAUUGACGGGGGCCCGCACAAGCGGUGGAGCAUGUGGUUCAAUUCGACGCAACGCGAAGAACCUUACCAACUUUUGACAUGUUCUUGACGAGAGGCAGAGAUGUCUCUCUCCCGCAAGGGCAGGAACACAGGUGCUGCAUGGCUGUCGU
rnacentral:rRNA from 1 species